ensembl:lncRNA
GAGAAGGCAUUGCUGGGAGCAGAGAUCCUGUACUGCUGCUGUCUGCCCUGACCCUGAUGGUAGGUAGUCAGUCAUCAACUACUGCCAGUAAACGUGCACAAGCUUAAGAGUCCAUAGCUGCUGAAUCCUGCUCAAGAACCAUUUCCAUUUCAAAAUGGAAGCUAGGUAAAAGUAGCAGUGUGGAUUCUGUCUUCUUAUGCUCCCAUUCGGAAGAAAAAGAAGCCUUCAAUGUUUUAGACAAUUAAGAAGUUAAAGAUCUCCUUUGACCUGGACAGUUUGGCUUCAUCUUGGAUACCUUUUGACUUCAAAGAUUUAAUCGUGAUCACCAGUCAGAUCUCUAUGUCAUGGGCUUCAAAUCACUAGCAGGGAGACUGCUACAAUUUCAGCUGCAACAUUUGAUGUAUAAAUCCCUUAUCCCAUCUGUUCGCUUAAUCCAGGAUUCUGAAACACGUUCAGGGAACAGAAAAGGUUCCUGUCCUGCUGUCUGGGGGAGAGUUUUGGUAGCCUGCCCGGCCAACCCUAGCCCAGAGUAGUCCCAGGUGUGGGAACAAGGCUGCCCACCAUCGCAUUGGCAUCAACAUAACUGAUAGCUCUCAACAUGCUGCAUCAGCGAAAGCACACAGACAAAUGAGGCUGGCCAUGGAGUCACACCAGCCUCAGCAGGACCUGUACAGAUCAGCUGUGAUCACCAGGGUUGCACAACCUUCCACAAGUGAGAAGUGGACUCUGGACAGCGAGAUAUGCAUUACAAGAUAAAGCUGUCCUGCUAUGCCACAGCAGUUGAAGAGUCUGAGCAUGCCUCAGUGGCCCUACGCUCCCAGCACACAAAGCCAUCUGCAGCCACCAGUCAUUUGGAGCAGCCUCUCACAUGCUGGCUUUCCUACAGGGAGUUUCUCACAGCAGGAUCAGCCGCCCUUCCAGCACAUCACAGGUGUUCUCCACAUGGCGUGAGCAGCAUUUCUCUCCUCUGGUUCUGGGAGAGGAAAUUCUGCAAACCAAAUGUGAACUCAGGAAAGGGAGGUCCUAGCAAACUUGCUGUGCCAAAGGCAAACACAAAAGGCUCACCUCUGCAGUUGUGCCCGACUGAGCAGUGCCAGCAAAUAGGGGAGUGCGGUGCCAGACUCAUACAGAGUGGUACGGGGUCAAGGCAAGGCUUUUUGCUGGGAACAGGGUGUGUGCGGGCUGAAAAGCACUGAGGAGGAACUGAGGCCAUGGCUGAUCCUGGGGGGUGUCCAGAUCAGCUCUGCAGGCGAGGUUAGUGCCUUUGCUCCUCUGUCAUCACCAGUCCCUGAGAGCAAUCACCACCCACCAACAGUUCCUCAAGAUAAGACUGAGCCAGCUGGGAGAAGAAAUCCUUUGAUAUUUCCCUGCCUCGCUGACUGCGUUUUUCACAGCUCACAUCUCAGAGAGGACCAGCAGAGAUGACUGGGCACGUAAGAAUAACACUGGACUGGUAUGCAAGGAAGGUGCUAAUCUUCUGCCAUGUGUGUAGGGCCUGGGCAGAAUGAGGCAGAGCGCAGUGCUGGAGUCUCCCUGAUCCUCCCAUGGAUAUCAGCAGCUGCCACACCUGGAGUCUGCAGCAAAGCUCCUUCCUCCAGAGGCCAAGAGCUGAGCCUACUGUUUCCAGCAAGGUAAUCACGUUCCCCAGGCAAUAACAAGCACUUCCUAAGAGCAGCUGCUUAAGAUGGCUCGGAAGCGAUGAGAAGGACGUGGUUAAAACUUUGCUUCAUGAAUCUGGUUACUGCACGUGGUGGGGAAGAGCUACUUUUUUGGACAAAAUGCCAGUCAGAUGCUCGGUAUUUUUUGUGAUUCAUGUUUGUGUUCUAAACCUCAUCUCCUUGUGCAAUACUUCUUAUUUCUGCAAAAGGAUACGAUAGGGAAAUUGUGCUUCUUCAGGGACAGCCAUAUUUUUAGGCUAUUUAAAAUGCAGAGGAUACAUCUUAAGGCCCUGUAAGCGCAAUUACAUGAGAAACCAAGCAGCCUCGGGUUUGCACUGCAGUUAGGUGCAACGCCGAUUCCUUCUGCACUCAGAGGUGCUGGGAACUAAAGGAGCACAUCUGAGGAGGGUGCACUGAGCACAGUGCAGCAAAGGAC